rnacentral:rRNA from 1 species
GACGAACGCUGGCGGCGUGCUUAACACAUGCAAGUCGAACGGUGAACCUUGGAGCUUGCUCUAAGGGGAUCAGUGGCGAACGGGUGAGUAACACGUGAGUAACCUGCCCCGGACUCUGGAAUAAGCGCUGGAAACGGCGUCUAAUACCGGAUACGAGACGCAACCGCAUGGUUAGCGUCUGGAAAGUUUUUCGGUCUGGGAUGGACUCGCGGCCUAUCAGCUUGUUGGUGAGGUAAUGGCUCACCAAGGCGACGACGGGUAGCCGGCCUGAGAGGGCGACCGGCCACACUGGGACUGAGACACGGCCCAGACUCCUACGGGAGGCAGCAGUGGGGAAUAUUGCACAAUGGGCGAAAGCCUGAUGCAGCGACGCCGCGUGAGGGAUGACGGCCUUCGGGUUGUAAACCUCUUUCAGCAGGGAAGAAGCGAAAGUGACGGUACCUGCAGAAGAAGCACCGGCUAACUACGUGCCAGCCGCCGCAGUAA